UAACCUAUCCAAAAAAGUACG
rnacentral:piRNA from 1 species